rnacentral:rRNA from 1 species
CCUACGGGGGGCAGCAGUAGGGAAUCUUCCACAAUGGACGAAAGUCUGAUGGAGCAACGCCGCGUGAGUGAAGAAGGGUUUCGGCUCGUAAAGCUCUGUUGGUAGUGAAGAAAGAUAGAGGUAGUAACUGGCCUUGAGUGGACGGUAAUUACGGAGAAAGUCACGGCUAACUACGUGCCAGCAGCCGCGGUAAUACGUAGGUGGCAAGCGUUGUCCGGAUUUAUUGGGCGUAAAGCGAGUGCAGGCGGUUCCAUAAGUCUGAUGUGAAAGCCUUCGGCUCAACCGGAGAAUUGCAUCCGAAACUGUUGAACUUGAGUGCAGCAGCGGCGAGUGGAACUCCAUGUGUAGCGG